UACAAUGGAGAGUUUGAUCCUGGCUCAGGAUGAACGCUGGCGGCAGGCCUAAUACAUGCAAGUCGAACGGGAUCCGGUGUAGCAAUACACUGGUGAGAGUGGCGCACGGGUGCGUAACACGUAUGCAACCUACCUUUAACAGGUACAUAACAGCGCGAAAGCGGUGCUAAUAUACCAUGUGGUUAUUGAAUGGCAUCAUUUAAUAAUUAAAGAUUUAUCGGUUAAAGAUGGGCAUGCGUCCCAUUAGCUAGUUGGUGAGGUAAAGGCUCACCAAGGCAAUGAUGGGUAGGGGUUCUGAGAGGAUAUACCCCCACACUGGUACUGAGACACGGACCAGACUCCUACGGGAGGCAGCAGUAAGGAAUAUUGGUCAAUGGGCGAGAGCCUGAACCAGCCAUGCCGCGUGCAGGAAGACGGCCCUAUGGGUUGUAAACUGCUUUUGUCAGGGGAUAAACCUACCGACGAGUCGGUAGCUGAAGGUACCUGAAGAAUAAGGAUCGGCUAACUCCGUGCCAGCAGCCGCGGUAAUACGGAGGAUCCGAGCGUUAUCCGGAUUUAUUGGGUUUAAAGGGUGCGCAGGCGGAUUGGUAAGUCAGGGGUGAAAUUCUACGGCUCAACUGUAGGCGUGCCUUUGAUACUGUCAAACUAGAGUUAAGUUGGAGUGGGCGGAAUGUGUUGUGUAGCGGUGAAAUGCUUAGAUAUAACACAGAACACCGAUCGCGAAGGCAGCUCACUAAACUUAGACUGACGCUCAUGCACGAAAGCGUGGGGAUCAAACAGGAUUAGAUACCCUGGUAGUCCACGCUGUAAACGAUGAUCACUCGCUGUUGGCGAUAUACAGUCAGUGGCUAAGCGAAAGUGAUAAGUGAUCCACCUGGGGAGUACG
rnacentral:rRNA from 1 species